AUGAGUUUGUGCGGCUUCAAGGAGAAGCAGUGGCGGUCAGAUGUCAAGAGGCUGCAACUUGGGCCCAGGAGAGCUAGUGGGAAGCAGCUGCAUAGCACAGUAUCAUUUGAUGACCCACCUACCGCUAAAGCAGCUACUGACUGGUUUGAUGGUAAAGAAUUCUCUGGGAAUCCUAUCAAGGUCUCAUCUGCUACCCGGCGAGCAGACUUCAAUCGGGGUGGUGACAAUGGUCGUGGAGGCCGAGGGCGAGGAGGACCCACCGGCCGUGGAGGCUACGGAGGUGGUGGCAGUGGUGACAGUGGCCGAGGAGGCUUCCCCAGUGGCGGCAGUGACGGACAGCAGCGAGCAGGGGACUGGACGUGUCCUAAUCCUACGUGUGCGAACGUGAACUUCUCUUGGAGGAAUGAAUGCCACCAGGGUAAGGCCCCUAAACCAGAUGGCCCAGGAGGGGGGCCAGGAGGCUCUCAUAUGGGGGGUAACUAUGGAGAUGCUCGUCGUGGUGGCAGAGGAGGCUAUGAUCCGGGCAUCUACCGAGGCCGAGGCGGGGGACCGUGGGGGCUUCCGACGGUGCCGGGGAGGUGGGGACAGAGGUGGCUUUGGCCCUGGCAAGAUGGACUCCGGGGGGGGCACAGACUGCAUCGCAGGAGAGGCCGUGUUAGCCUGGCUCCUGAGGUUCUGGAGCAGCUUUCUUCCUGUCCCCAGUGUUACCCUCAUUAUUUUGUAACCUUCCAACUCCUGAUCACCCACGGGUUUUUUGUGUCGGACUAUGUAAUGUAACCAUAUCUCUGGUUCCCAUUAAAAAACAUUUUAGUU